AGUGAACGCUGGCGGUAGGCCUAACACAUGCAAGUCGAACGGCGGCACAGUAAGAGCUUGCUCUUACGGGUGGCGAGUGGCGGACGGGUGAGGAAUACAUCGGAAUCUACUUUUUCGUGGGGGAUAACGUAGGGAAACUUACGCUAAUACCGCAUACGACCUACGGGUGAAAGCAGGGGAUCUUCGGACCUUGCGCGAUUGAAUGAGCCGAUGUCGGAUUAGCUAGUUGGCGGGGUAAAGGCCCACCAAGGCGACGAUCCGUAGCUGGUCUGAGAGGAUGAUCAGCCACACUGGAACUGAGACACGGUCCAGACUCCUACGGGAGGCAGCAGUGGGGAAUAUUGGACAAUGGGCGCAAGCCUGGUCCAGCCAUACCGCGUGGGUGAAGAAGGCCUUCGGGUUGUAAAGCCCUUUUGUUGGGAAAGAAAAGCAGCAGGUUAAUACCCCGCUGUUCUGACGGUACCCAAAGAAUAAGCACCGGCUAACUUCGUG
rnacentral:rRNA from 1 species